AUUGAACGCUAGCGGCAGGCCUAACACAUGCAAGUCGAGGGGUAGAAGGAGCCUGCUCCUUUGAGACCGGCGCACGGGUGCGUAACGCGUAUGCAAUCUACCUUUUACAGAGGGAUAGCCCAGAGAAAUUUGGAUUAAUACCUCAUAGUAUAUAUCAUUCGCAUGUUUGGUAUAUUAAAGUUCCAACGGUAAAAGAUGAGCAUGCGUCCCAUUAGUUAGUUGGUAAGGUAACGGCUUACCAAGACGAUGAUGGGUAGGGGUCCUGAGAGGGAUUACCCCGCCACUGACACUAAGACAGGGAACAGGCUCCCACGGGAGGCGGGAAUGGGGAAUAUGCGUCAAUGGAUGCACGUCUGAACCGACCAUGCCGCGGCCAGUAAGACAGUCCUAUGGAUUGUAAACUGCUUUAGUACAAGAAGAAACACUCCUACGCUUAGGAGCCUGAUGGUAGCAUAAGAAUAAGGAUCGGCUAACUCCGUGCCAGCCGCCGCCGUAAGAC
rnacentral:rRNA from 1 species